rnacentral:tRNA from 1 species
GCCGGAGUAGCUCAGUUGGGAGAGCGUUAGACUGAAGAUCUAAAUGUCCCCGGUUCGAUUCCGGGUUCCGGCA